rnacentral:RNase_P_RNA from 1 species
AAGGAACGUUCUUAUUUAAAGAGGGCGAAAACGCUGAAGACGAAAUUACUAAUAUGUUUAAUGUAUUAAUUAAGGUAAAACCUGAUUUGUUUUCUAAUCUUACUUAUGAAAAAGAUAUAAUAAAGGUUAGUAUAAAUUCUCUUUGUUCUAGGUUAAAGAAGUUAACUCAAAAUUCAGUUAAUGAUUUGACGGAAGAAAAUCUUACUAUCUUAACUAAAGAAUUAAAAAGUAGAAUACAUAACUUUUUUAGAGGUAGGGGAUUUGAUGUUGCUAUAGCUACUUGUGAGUUUAGAGAAAUUCAGAUUAAGAACCUAAAAGGAAUAAUAGUAGAAGGAAGAAAUUUAGUAGAAAAUGAUUUUACUAAAUUACUAACAAUACUUAUUGCUAUAGCUACUUGUGAGUUUAGAGAAAUUCAGAUUAAGAACCUAAAAGGAAUAAUAGUAGAAGGAAGAAAUUUAGUAGAAAAUGAUUUUACUAAAUUACUAACAAUACUUAUUGAAAAAAAACCAGAAUUUUUCACAAAAAGGGAUAAAGAGGUUAAUCUACCAAAAACAGGCGUAA